GUCGCCCAGUUACAAUACAGUGCAGCGUGACUCGUGCUUGCUCUUGUCCAUAAUGUGGCCUGCUGCUUGUGGUGGGGAUACACCUGGGGCCAGUCGCUGCACCAUCUGGUGAAGUGUUUCGAAAACGUGUUACGGGGAAAAAUUGCAGUAACCGGAUUGGAGCACUCAGUGUCCGGUGAAUAUUUGUCCAGCACCAAACGCAUCGAGGAGUUCGUAUGCGCCGCAGAUGGCAUCAUUUCGUCCUUAUUUUCGAAUUUUAUUUCAGUUACAGAGAAAGAGGGAAUACCAGAGUUAAAGACACUGAUGAUAUAAGAAUGGAAAUAGAAACUGAAGAAAGAGAAAUGAAAGUGGAAAUAAGAAGGAAACAGUGAAAUUGAAACAAAAGGCAGCAAACACCAAAUAUACAGGUUUAAAAUAAAUCGACCGCGCUCAGUAUCAACCAGGAUUGUGAAUCGGAACCAUGCACCAGUACGUCUACAACCAACAGUCAUGAUGAAAACAAUGCGGAUGUAAGGUCAUCUACUGCUUUUGGAAAAUCUAAUCCGCCUAGUAGAGUCCGUUAUGCAGGAUCGUCGGUACCUCUUGAACAAAAGGAUACUGUAGAUGAUCAGGAAAAAUCAAACAAAAAAGGUAGCAAAAGGAAACGUGGGGUAAACCAACAGGAAAAAAAUAAAAAAUUAAGAAAUUUAGGUAACAGCUAUUUGUCUUACCGAGGGAAAGGAAAUCCUCAAGCACCUCGAGAAGCAGGCCCAGAUUGCCUUUGUAAGAAAAAAUGUUUUUCAAAGAUUGAUGCUGACGAACGACACUCGGUGUUUGAAGAGUUCAAUAGAAUGGGAAACUACAACAUCCAAAACGCUCAUCUAUUUGGUCUAAUAGAUGUUAAAAAAUCUGCCAGAAGUACAAAAAAGAGUGGAAGUCCCUCUCGAAGAAAAUGUACCAUUACUUACAAUAUCUUGGUUGAAGGGCAAAAAGUAGAAGUAUGUAAAACUGCUUUCCUCAACAUCCACGGACUGCAAAAAAGUAGAGGGAGAGUCGAAAUUUUGGUUUAAAAAAAAUCAAUGGCGCUCAUACUCCACCAUCAGAUAAAAGAGGUGCACAUGGGCACCACAAGGAAAAGUAUUCAGAAGACGAUAUAAAAAAUGUGCAUACUUUUAUAUAAAAACUUCCCAAACACGAAAGUCACUACACCAGGCGCAAAAAUCCUUAUAAGAUGUUUAUGUCUAUGGAAUACACAGUUAAAUGUUGUUUUGAAGAAAAUACUCAGUUCUGUUCAGAAAGUGGUAGCAGUCCUGUAUCUUCAGACAAGUUCAGAAGAAUAUUUACGGAAGAAUUUAAUAUAGGAUUCAAGUCUCCUAAGACAGUUACAUGUAAGGACUGCGACUCAAUGAGAAUUGAACUGCAACAAUCCGAAAACGAUAAAAAUGACGCUAAAGUCCAAGAAAUUGGACACAAAAUCGAGAGACACCACCUACAUACUGCUGCCGGCCAACAAUUUUUGCAAGUUGCCCCAGAGGAGAAAGAAGCCCUUGUUCUAACAUUUGAUCUCCAACAGGCGUUGCCCAUUCCAAAAUUAUCCACUGGACCUGCAUUUUACAAAAGAAAAUUGUUUUGCUACAACCUCAGCAUUCAUGAUUGCUCCAAUAACGUAGGGUACUUUUAUUACUGGGACGAGGCUACUGCUAGGAGAGGAAGUGAUGAAAUUGCAAGUUGCAUAUUGAAACACUUCACCGUGAAUGACAUACAGUGCAAGAAACUGGUAGUAAUAUCAGAUAGCUGCUGUGGUCAAAAUAAAAACUGGACAAUAGUCGCUCUCUAGCUUAAAUUAUUGGCAAGUGGCCGUGUAAAACGUGUUGAACAUGUUUUUCCAGUAGUUGGACAUACUAUAUUGCCAUCAGAUAGAGAUUUCGGCCGAGUAGAGCAGUAUGUGAGGGAUCACAUUCAGUAUGUGUACUGCCCGGAGGAAUGGGGACAGAUCUUGAAAAACGCCCAACGCUCACCUCCCUUUAAUGUGUACAGAAUGCAGCAGGGAGAUUUCUUUCAAGUUUCCUUACUGAAGGCAUUGUUUAGAGCACCCAAGAAUGUAAUUGCUGCGUCUGUCAAACUACUGUUGGUCCGAGAAGAACCAGAUUCUCUGACUGUUUAUAAAUCAUAUUUCGGAUCUGGUGAAGAAAUAUCAUAGAAGCUAAAAGGUCGCCCUCUUGCAGAAGAUGUUCUGGGGAAAUUUAACGCACCUCUUCCACUGCUGUGUAAUACACCAAUACCAGUCAAUAAGGAAAAAUUGCGCGAUGUUCUCAGCCUGCUCAAGUAUAUUCCAAAGGCAUAUCACGUAUAUUACACGAGCUUAGUU